UCCACGCAAAGCAAAAUAGAAACAGAUCAAUUCAUGGCAUUCAUAGCCCAUGAUUUGCCAACCUGUAAUAGCAACUGUCACUGCCUCCACUGCAGCAGCUGGCCAUGUGACCUCCGCGAGACUCCCCAGAAAUAAUAUUUUCUGCCCAAACACCACGCAAAACAGAGAGACAUAAAUAGGCAGCCAAGUAAAACGAAGAGAAAAGCUUAAAAAACAGGGGCGAUGGGGCUGAGCAGAACCCUGUACUGCGGCCGCCAGAAGGUGCGCGUGGUGGAGCCCAACGGUCAGAUCCGCCAUUUCCAUUUCCCCAUCACAGUGCCCGACCUUCUCCGCCUCUAUCCUCACCAUUUUCUCCGUCACAUCUCGGGUUCGAGUCUCGAUCCUGACGCAGAGCUCGAAGGCGGGGACACUUACAUGCUUUUCCCCCUGCCCAGGCUUUUUCCAACAAAGGGAGCGGUUCUUCCAACGGCGAAGCGCCAGCCGGAGUCGAACCCGCGACUUCCGCCUUCCGCGGAAACGCAGAGCCGGAAGAGGAAAGCGUGGAGGCGGAGAAGGUACUGGGAGCCCUCGCUCGACAUGAUCGAGGAGAAUGCGAUGCUCUUGCAGACAAAGGAAGAGGAGGACAGAAUUCACAGGCAGACUGUAAAGUAUAAGACGCAGAAUUGUGCGUUCAAAAAGGAGCCCUGGUUCAUGCGAACGAGGUUGAAUGUAUCCGCGGGCUUUAUUUUAAGUCCGAUUUUCUGAUCUGUCUGAAUUGUAUCUCUUUUUUUUUAAAAUCCGGGGAAGAUCUGUAAAGCUGUGAUAAUUUACCUAUAUCAGGCUUAAAAUUUGCUCUUGAUCGGUACAAAGAAUUAAGGGUUGCUGAGCGUUAAAAUUUGAUUGUUCGAGUUCAAUUGGUAGGGAUAAUGUUCUGAUCGGAGUUGAAUCAGGUCGAUGGCUGAUUGAUGAUUGAUUGAAUCAGGUUGAUGGUUGAUUGAAUCAGGUUGUACAGUCUGAGUUGGUCUAGUGAUGGAGAAUUUGUGCUUUUGAAAAAGAGGUCAUAAAUUCAAACUUCGUAUGGGGAUAAGAGGAAGCGAAUGCCUGUUUGGGAGAGAAUUGGAGAGACCUUGAACAAAAGUGUUUUCAAAUGCUUCUUCAAAGCCCAUUUAGCCAAGCAAUCUACUGCCUUGUUCCAAUCGCUUGGAAUAUGAGUGAAGGAGAUAUCAUCAAACUUAGUAGUUGAAAGAAGGAUUUGUUUAACUACCAAGCCCCAACUCCAAGAGCAAGCCUGAAAGUUUUUGUUAUUUGAAAGAUUGAUGAGAAUCAUAGAAUUGACCUCACAAACGACUUUAUUUUGUUGGAGACUUGUUGAGAGAAUGUUGACAAUGUAUGUGUAG